rnacentral:rRNA from 1 species
AUUGAACGCUGGCGGCAGGCCUAACACAUGCAAGUCGAGCGGAAACGAGUUAUCUGAACCUUCGGGGAACGAUAACGGCGUCGAGCGGCGGACGGGUGAGUAAUGCCUAGGAAAUUGCCUUGAUGUGGGGGAUAACCAUUGGAAACGAUGGCUAAUACCGCAUAAUGCCUACGGGCCAAAGAGGGGGACCUUCGGGCCUCUCGCGUCAAGAUAUGCCUAGGUGGGAUUAGCUAGUUGGUGAGGUAAUGGCUCACCAAGGCGACGAUCCCUAGCUGGUCUGAGAGGAUGAUCAGCCACACUGGAACUGAGACACGGUCCAGACUCCUACGGGAGGCAGCAGUGGGAAUAUUGCACAAUGGGCGCAAGCCUGAUGCAGCCAUGCCGCGUGUAUGAAGAAGGCCUUUCGGGUUGUAAAGUACUUUCAGCAGUGAGGAAGGUUCAUGCGUUAAUAGCGUAUGGAUUUGACGUUUAGCUCAGAA